rnacentral:rRNA from 1 species
UACGUAGGGGGCAAGCGUUGUCCGGAAUCAUUGGGCGUAAAGCGCGUGUAGGCGGUCCGGUAAGUCGGCUGUGAAAGUCCAGGGCUCAACCCUGGGAUGCCGGUCGAUACUGCCGGACUAGAGUUCGGAAGAGGCGAGUGGAAUUCCCGGUGUAGCGGUGAAAUUCGUAGAUAUCGGGAGGAACACCGGUGGCGAAGGCGGGUCUCUGGGCCGAUACUG